rnacentral:rRNA from 2 species
UGAGGAAUAUUGGUCAAUGGGCGAAAGCCUGAACCAGCCAAGUCGCGUGAAGGACGACGGUCCUAUGGAUUGUAAACUUCUUUUGUCGGGGAGUAAAGGCAGUUACGUGUAACUGUUUGCAAGUACCCGAAGAAAAAGCAUCGGCUAACUCCGUGCCAGCAGCCGCGGUAAUACGGAGGAUGCGAGCGUUAUCCGGAUUUAUUGGGUUUAAAGGGUGCGUAGGCGGUUUGAUAAGUCAGUGGUGAAAUCACGAAGCUCAACUUCGUAACUGCCAUUGAAACUGUCGAACUUGAGUGCGGUAGAAGUGUGCGGAAUGCGUAGUGUAGCGGUGAAAUGCAUAGAUAUUACGCAGAACCCCGAUUGCGAAGGCAGCACACCGGGCCGUAACUGACGCUGAAGCACGAAAGCGUGGGUAUCGAACAGG